rnacentral:rRNA from 1 species
AUUGAACGCUGGCGGCAGGCCUAACACAUGCAAGUCGAACGAGCGGCGGACGGGUGAGUAAUGGCUGGGAAUCUGCCUGAUGGAGGGGGAUAACUACUGGAAACGGUAGCUAAUACCGCAUACCAUCAGAUGUGCCCAUAUGGGAUUAGCUUGUUGGUGGGGUAACGGCUAACCUAGGCGACGAUCCCUAGCUGGUCUGAGAGGAUGAUCAGCCACACUGGGACUGAGACACGGCCCAGACGCCUACGGGAGGCAGCAGUGGGGAAUAUUGCACAAUGGGCGCAAGCAGGAUGCAGCCAUGCCGCGUGUAUGAAGAAGGCCUUCGGGUUGUAAAGUACUUUCAGCCGGGAGGCGUUACCGGCAGAAGAAGCACCGGCUAACUCCGUGCCAGCAGCCGCGGUAAUAC